GACCUCAAAUCGGGUGAGACUACCCGCUGAACUUAAGCAUAUCAAUAAGCGGAGGAAAAGAAACUAACAAGGAUUCCCCUAGUAACUGCGAGUGAAGCGGGAAAAGCUCAAAUUUAAAAUCUGGUGGUCUUUGGCCAUCCGAGUUGUAAUUUAGAGAAGCGUCUUCCGCGCUGGACCGUGCACAAGUCUCCUGGAAUGGAGCGUCAUAGAGGGUGAGAAUCCCGUCUUUGGCACGGAUGUACCAGGGCUUUUGUGAUGCGCUCUCGAAGAGUCGAGUUGUUUGGGAAUGCAGCUCAAAAUGGGUGGUGAACUCCAUCUAAAGCUAAAUAUUGGCGAGAGACCGAUAGCGAACAAGUACCGUGAGGGAAAGAUGAAAAGCACUUUGGAAAGAGAGUGAAACAGUACGUGAAAUUGUUGAAAGGGAAACGCUUGAAGUCAG
rnacentral:rRNA from 1 species